UAUCCCUUCCUGUGUAGAUGAAGAUUUUUGUUACUUGGGACAGCUUGGAUGAAUGUAGAGAAUAUUAUGCUAAUUGAAUUAGGACAGACAGGGUAAGACUGAUAUUGUAUGUGCUCACUUAUAUGUAGAAUGUAAAAAAGUGAAACUCACUAGUACCAGACAGUGGGAUGGUGGUUAUUUGGGACUGGGAGGUGGGGAGGUUCGGGAGAUGUUGGUUGAAGGGUGGUACAGAUUUUGAGUUGUAAAAUGAGUGCAUCCUGGGGAGGUGUGUGCAGCACGCUGACUGUAAUUAAUCCUAUUCUGUUACCGCAUGCUGGGAAUUUAUCAAGAGAGUCCGUCGUCAGUGUUUUCACCACACAUGGAACAUGGGCAUUUGGAGGUGAUGGAUGUGUUCAUUCAUGAUUGUGAUAAAUAUUUCAAAGGUACACAUGUCACAUGAUCACAUGGUGUAUGGUAUAUGUACACAUAACCCUUCUCAUUGGUCUCAGUCAAGCUGGAAAAGAAGAAAGUGGGAGGUGGCCUGGCCUUAGUCCUUCACUAGGGAUCAACCCACGCUUCACAUGAGAUCAUGAGGCAUUUUGCCCGGGCAUGUUUUGUACCCCUCCCCCAAAAGACAUGCUCCUCAAGAUCUCAUGUGGGGCCUCGCCUCAGGAAUGUGCACAGGCUGCGGAUGAUUCCAAUCUGGAUCCUGCAUUGAACACCAGGACUCUUAGCCUCCACUUCUGAGACUGAGAUCAAUCCCUGGGGGAGGGGAGGGCACUCUGCUCUGAGUGGGGCUGGAUCAGGGCCUGCUGUGUGACCUGAAGGGGAUCAUGGGGUGAGCGGAGGUGCCCCCUGCUCUGUGUGCAUAAGGCCUCACCAGGAGGGAAAUGUGAUCCGAGGUAAAGUGUGGAAAAGUCCCGUGUUGGUCUCUCUGUGGGAGUUGACCGUCCUGCGUCCCUCCUGAGACAGUGUGCACAGAGGACUGUCUGUUCCACACUGUGAGGGCUUCCCUGUGUGUGUGGUUGGGGCUCAGGAAGGGAAUGUGUUGACCCUAAGCAUUAAACAGCAUGUUUUCCACGUUCAUGAUAGAAUUGUGAAGACUCAUGGAUGAAGAAGCCCAGAAGAGGAAAGAACAGGAGUCAGGCAUGGCUCUUUCUCCGGCACAGUUGACCUUCAAGGAUGUGUUCAUAAAUUUCACUCCUGAGGAGUGGGACUGUCUGGACCCUGCCCAGAGACCCUCAGGAACCUGCUGUCUGUAGAUGUGUCUCAAAUACAUAUGAUCAAGAAAUUACAGGCAAAAGGAGACAGUGGUAAAGAAGAAAUUUUUCAAAGAGUGGUGUUUGGAAGAGCUGAAAGCCAUGAAAUCGAAGAUUAUUUCCUCAGAAAGAUACAGAAAAAUAUGCAUGAUUUUGAGUCUCUGUGGACAGAUGAUGAAAGAAAUAACAGAGAAACCUCUCUAUCCCAUAACAAAAUCUCACCGAUAGACGAGAUCAUGAUAGUAGAAGUGAUGCAGGAAAUAAGCCUGUUGAAAGGCAUGGAUCAAGCUUUCAGGAUCAGUUGCAGAUACUUGAAUCUGAAGGGACAGUUUCUGAAUGUAGUCAGGUUGUGGCGAAUAUCAACAGUAGCACCUCAGGUUUACCACCUCAGAAAACUCGUAGUGUCUGUAAAGGCAAUUCUCAUAAACAAGAGAGUGAUGUUAUAUAUCCCUCAGAACUGGUACCAGACCAGGCAGUACACAAGAAAAAUACUUAGAGUUGUAAUGAGUGUAACACAACUUUUCUUCAGGACUCAGAACUCACACAGAGAAGGCAAUGGCACCCAACUCCAGUACUCUUGCCUAGAAAAUCCCAUGGAUGGAGGAGCC